rnacentral:rRNA from 1 species
UACGGGGGGGGGCAAGCGUUGUUCGGAAUUAUUGGGCGUAAAGGGCGCGUAGGCGGCCUUGCAAGUGACGGGUGAAAUCCCUCGGCUUAACCGAGGAACUGCCUGUCAAACUGCGUGGCUUGAGACCAGGAGAGGUGAGUGGAAUUCCCAGUGUAGCGGUGAAAUGCGUAGAUAUUGGGAGGAACACCAGUGGCGAAGGCGGCUCACUGGACUGGUACUGACGCUGAUGCGCGAAAGCGUGGGGAGCAAACAGG